rnacentral:sRNA from 1 species
UGUGGGUGUGUUGAGGCUGAGGGCUAGUCCUGAGCUGGCUCUGACUACCCCCUCGCUGCUCCCACAGGCAGCCCCGGUGACCCUGCAACUGCUCUUCUUGGACGGUGAAGAGGCGCUGAAGGAGUGGGGACCCAAGGACUCCCUUUACGGUUCCCGGCACCUGGCCCAGCUCCUGGAGUCUAUACCUCACAGCCCCGGCCCCACCAGGAUCCAGGCUAUUUCCUAGCCUUUCUCCUUAGGAGCUCUUUAUGCUUCUUGAUCUCCUGGGAGCCCCCAAUCCCACCUUCUACAGCCACUUCCCUCGCACGGUCCGCUGGUUCCAUCGGCUGAGGAGCAUUGAGAAGCGUCUGCACCGUUUGAACCUG